rnacentral:rRNA from 1 species
AAAACUCCGGUGGUGUAAGAUGGACCCGCGUCUGAUUAGCUUGUUGGCGGGGUAACGGCCCACCAAGGCGACGAUCAGUAGCCGGCCUGAGAGGGUGAACGGCCACAUUGGGACUGAGACACGGCCCAAACUCCUACGAGAGGCAGCAGUGGGGAAUAUUGGACAAUGGGGGGAACCCUGAUCCAGCGACGCCGCGUGAGUGAAGAAGUAUUUCGGUAUGUAAAGCUCUAUCAGCAGGGAAGAAAGAAAUGACGGUACCUGACUAAGAAGCCCCGGCUAACUACGUGCCAGCAGCCGCGGUAAUACGUAGGGGGCAAGCGUUAUCCGGAUUUACUGGGUGUAAAGGGAGCGUAGACGGCGAUGCAAGUCUGAAGUGAAAGGCGGGGGCCCAACCCCCGGACUGCUUUGGAAACUGUAUGGCUGGAGUGCAGGAGAGGUAAGUGGAAUUCCUAGUGUAGCGGUGAAAUGCGUAGAUAUUAGGAGGAACACCAGUGGCGAAGGCGGCUUACUGGACUGUAACUGACGUUGAGGCUCGAAAGCGUGGGGAGCAAACAGGAUUAGAUACCCUGGUAGUCCACGCCGUAAACGAUGAUCACCAGGUGUCGGUGGGUAUGGACCCAUCG